CAGAUUCAUCGCCGGCGUGGGUUCGUUCUGAGAUUAUACGGCCUUUAACUUGAUCUGGAUAAUACCAGCGAAAGGAUCAUGCCCUCCCCCCUCC
rnacentral:ncRNA from 1 species